GAACCGUCCUAACGUUGUUCGGAUUCACUGGGCUUAAAGGGCGCGUAGGCGGGUGAGCAAGUCCGGGGUGAAAUCUUUCGGCUUAACCGGAAAACGGCCUUGGAGACUGCUCGUCUGGAGGGAGGUAGGGGUCUGUGGAACUUCCGGUGGAGCGGUGAAAUGCGUUGAUAUCGGAAGGAACGCCGGUGGCGAAAGCGACGGACUGGACCUCUUCUGACGCUGAGGCGCGAAAGCCAGGGGAGCAAACGGGAUUAGAUACCCCGGUAGUCCUGGCCCUAAACGAUGGGUACUAGGUAGUGGACUUAACAUGGGUUCCCUGCCGAAGCAAAAGUGAUAAGUACCCCGCCUGGGGAGUAUGGUCGCAAGGCUGAA
rnacentral:rRNA from 1 species